GGGAAUACAGCUCAGUGGUAGAGUGCGUGCUUAGCAUAUACGAGGUCCUGGGUUCAAUCCCCACUACCUCCA
rnacentral:tRNA from 1 species